rnacentral:rRNA from 1 species
CAGUAGCCGCGGGAAUACAGAGGGUGCGAGCGUUAAUCGGAUUUACUGGGCGUAAAGCGUGCGUAGGCGGCUUCUUAAGUCGGAUGUGAAAUCCCUGAGCUUAACUUAGGAAUUGCAUUCGAUACUGGGAAGCUAGAGUAUGGGAGAGGAUGGUAGAAUUCCAGGUGUAGCGGUGAAAUGCGUAGAGAUCUGGAGGAAUACCGAUGGCGAAGGCAGCCAUCUGGCCUAAUACUGACGCUGAGGUACGAAAGCGUGGGGAGCAAACAGGAUUAGAUACCCCUGUAGUCCCUGUCUCUUAUAC